UGGGGAAUAUUGGACAAGGGGCGAAAGCCUGAUCCAGCCAUGCCGCGUGUGUGAAGAAGGUCUUCGGAUUGUAAAGCACUUUACGUUGGGAGGAAGGGCAUUAACCUAAUACGUUAGUGUUUUGACGUUACCGACAGAAUAAGCACCGGCUAACUCUGUGCCAGCAGCCGCGGUAAUACAGAGGGUGCAAGCGUUAAUCGGAAUUACUGGGCGUAAAGCGCGCGUAGGUGGUUUGUUAAGUUGGAUGUGAAAUCCCCGGGCUCAACCUGGGAACUGCAUUCAAAACUGACUGACUAGAGUAUGGUAGAGGGUGGUGGAAUUUCCUGUGUAGCGGUGAAAUGCGUAGAUAUAGGAAGGAACACCAGUGGCGAAGGCGACCACCUGGACUAAUACUGACACUGAGGUGCGAAAGCGUGGGGAGCAAACA
rnacentral:rRNA from 1 species